AGUCGAGGGGCAGCAUUUUUCUAGCAAUAGAAGAGAUGGCGACCGGCGCACGGGUGAGUAACACGUAUCCAACCUACCGAUAACUCCGGAAUAGCCUUUCGAAAGAAAGAUUAAUACCGGAUAGUAUACGAAUAUCGCAUGAUAUUUUUAUUAAAGAAUUUCGGUUAUCGAUGGGGAUGCGUUCCAUUAGUUUGUUGGCGGGGUAACGGCCCACCAAGACUACGAUGGAUAGGGGUUCUGAGAGGAAGGUCCCCCACAUUGGAACUGAGACACGGUCCAAACUCCUACGGGAGGCAGCAGUGAGGAAUAUUGGUCAAUGGGCGCAGGCCUGAACCAGCCAAGUAGCGUGAAGGAUGAAGGCUCUAUGGGUCGUAAACUUCUUUUAUAUGGGAAUAAAGUUUUCCACGUGUGGAAUUUUGUAUGUACCAUAUGAAUAAGGAUCGGCUAACUCCGUGCCAGCAGCCGCGGUAAUACGGAGGAUCCGAGCGUUAUCCGGAUUUAUUGGGUUUAAAGGGAGCGUAGGUGGAUUGUUAAGUCAGUUGUGAAAGUUUGCGGCUCAACCGUAAAAUUGCAGUUGAAACUGGCAGUCUUGAGUACAGUAGAGGUGGGCGGAAUUCGUGGUGUAGCGGUGAAAUGCUUAGAUAUCACGAAGAACUCCGAUUGCGAAGGCAGCUCACUAGACUGUAACUGACACUGAUGCUCGAAAGUGUGGGUAUCAAACAGGAUUAGAUACCCUGGUAGUCCACACAGUAAACGAUGAAUACUCGCUGUUUGCGAUAUACAGUAAGCGGCCAAGCGAAAGCAUUAAGUAUUCCACCUGGGGAGUACGCCGGCA
rnacentral:rRNA from 1 species